GUCUCCUUGUGCCUGGCUGGCUGUUUCCCCUUUCUUUUCUCGGAUCUCUUUGUGCAUUAUUUGGCCUUGGAGUUGAAGGAUCGGAUCACAUAUGGAUUCAGUGGAAACUACUGGACUUCAGGAUCUAUUGAUGAAUAACAAUGCUCGCAUGGAUUGUCAGGAGGAGCAGAUUCUGGCGAUUGGUAACGCAGGUUUCUGAGCUCACCACCCAAAUAAAAAUAGAUCGCCCACUGCGCCAGCCACACCGCCUGCUCCCCCAGUUCCAGUAGACAAUGCAACCUAGGCCUCUGACGUUUGCUACUGAAGAGUCCAGAGUGGCUUUGGUGUUGAUACUGCUGUCAGACAUCCUUGAUGUUCCUUAUUCCACUCUUUUGCACAAGAUGGGUCGUGAAGUGGCAGGUCGCAAGACUAAGCGAAUGCUAGUCAAUCUCCAGCAAGAAAAUAAGACUGUCUCCAACUACUAAAUAGAGUUCUGGACUCUACGAAAGAGUGCAAAUGGAAUAAGGAGGCACAGUGGGACAUGUUCCUGCAUGGGUUGGCUGAUCAUAUCCAGAGGGAGAUAUUUACUGUGGAACUACCAGCUGAUCUGAAUGGGCUCAUAGACUUAGUCUGUUGCAAGCUGAGUUUUGAGCUUCCUCCAGUGGUAUGAUCAGUCUUCUGCCAAAGGGGCCAACCCAUGCAGGUGGGGAGAGCUUGGCUUUCUCUUGAGAAGAGAGAAUGCCGUAGGAUGAGAGAUCUUCGUAUUUAUUGUGGGGCAGCGGGACAUUUUCUGGGUGAAUGCCAAGUAAAAGGGUAAGCCUGACAGUAGGUCUGAGGCUGCUGUCAGGUGAAGUCUUGCUGAAUAAAACCUUGUCUAAUACUCUCCUCCUGGUAAGACUGCAAUGGGCAUCCAGAAGUCACAAGUGCAAGGCGCUAUUGGACUCCGGAGAGGAAGGUAAUUUUUUUUGGACAUUGCUAGACACCUUUGUAUUCCUAUGGUCCUGUUCAAUCACAAGAGCUGUUAAGAGCCUUUGUUAAGGCUCUUAAUGGACAGUCUCUGCCCUGUGUUACGCACUCCACCACUCUCAUGAGACUCGUCACGUCUGGCAAUCGCACAGACUCUCCUCUAGCACCGGUUGUGUUGGGUCAUCCUUGGCUCACUCAACAUAAUCCUAAAAUAGACUGGGGACAGAAUUCAGUAUAUGCAUGAGCGAAUCAUGCUAUGCAUGUCUUGUGUCUGCUUGUCCCUCUGUAUCUUGUUCUUCAUUCCAAACACCCGUUCUUCAAUCAUUCUCCAGAGGGGUUACCUUUUAGAACCUGCUCCGACAUUGCGCUCAAUUUCGUGUCUGCCCUCCCGCCUUCCCUGGGCAAUACAGUUGUUUUGACUGUAGUGGACAGGUUCUUGAAGGUGGCUCAUUUCAUCCCCUUGCCCAAAUUACAUUCUGCCACCCUCAAACCAACUGCCAGACUGAGCGAGCCAACCAGGAUGUGGAGAGGGUAUUGCAUUGUUUGGUGGCACAGAAUCCCACUUCCUGGAGCCAACAACUCUCGUGGGUUGAGUAAACACAUGACUUGUUACUAGUGUUGUCUACAGACCUCUUGCCUUUUGCAUGUAAUUUAGGUUACCAGCCACUCAUUUCGUGGACCCAUCUGCUCAUGCUUUUGUUCAGAGAUGCUGGAGAAGAGCCUGAGAGACUAAGGCUACGGCUUAUCUUCACCAGUCGAAGUCUCUCGUCUACGUUGUGGGUCAAAAAGUAUGGCUUUCUACUAAGAAUAUUCCACUCUGCCCCUUACAUAAUAAACUUGCUCCCAAAUUCAUUGUCCUGUUCCCUGUCCUUAGCCUAGUGGCAGUCCACCUUUCAUUUCUGCAGUAAUUUCAAAUUCUAAUACUUGGUGAACUGGGAAGGUUAUGGUCCGGAGGAGAGAAGUUGGGUUCCUGCCAGGGACAUAUUGGAUCAUUUACUUAUUGAUGAUUAUAAUCAAUGGGUAAGAUUGAUGGAGAUCGCCAGGAGGCACUCUUAGGAGAAGUGGUACUGUCACGGUUUAUGGAGUCAUAAUGUCAUCUGUCCACUGUCUCUAUUGCUUGUGGGUGUGCCUGAUUGCCGCAGCGAGCUAAUCAGUCCCAGCUGUGGCUCAUUUGCAGCACUAUUUAAGGUGCGCUAAUGUAGUCUUUGGUGUUUGUCUCCUUGUGCUUGGCUGGUUCUUUCUCCAGUGUCUUGGUUUCCUGUUUGGGUUCGCCUGGAUUUCUCUGUGGAUUAUUUAGUAUUGAAGUUAGCUGUUCAUUGCAUCCCUGCACUACUGAGUUAGUGAGAUGUCCGUGAACCUUUUCCUCUCCACUUUAACUGUGUUGAAUCUGUUCCAAUAAACUAUUUG